rnacentral:rRNA from 1 species
UGGGGAAUAUUGCACAAUGGGCGCAAGCCUGAUGCAGCCAUGCCGCGUGUAUGAAGAAGGCCUUCGGGUUGUAAAGUACUUUCAGCGGGGAGGAAGGCGAUAAGGUUAAUAACCUUGUCGAUCGACGUUACCCGCAGAAGAAGCACCGGCUAACUCCGUGCCAGCAGCCGCGGUAAUACGGAGGGUGCAAGCGUUAAUCGGAAUUACUGGGCGUAAAGCGCACGCAGGCGGUCUGUCAAGUCGGAUGUGAAAUCCCCGGGCUCAACCUGGGAACUGCAUUCGAAACUGGCAGGCUAGAGUCUUGUAGAGGGGGGUAGAAUUCCAGGUGUAGCGGUGAAAUGCGUAGAGAUCUGGAGGAAUACCGGUGGCGAAGGCGGCCCCCUGGACAAAGACUGACGCUCAGGUGCGAAAGCGUGGGGAGCAAACA